CGGAAUGCGUUGAUAGGGAUCAAAGCAUCUGCAACCGAGUUUCAGAGAGCCGUUGUUUGCUGCGAAACGGUGCCGGGCAGAUGUAUAACUCACCUUAGAGCAGUCUGCCGAACGGUUUUCAUACCCAGUAGAGCGGAACGGUUUCUCCCCGUUACAGGAGAACUGCAUUGAUGGAUGCAGGCCGAGUGGGCAUUGGAAACAAUGCCAACAAAGAGUGGUACCGCGACAGGAUUUCACCGUCGUCUCUUUU
rnacentral:ncRNA from 1 species